GUCGCGAUCACCGCCAUGUUGCUCUGUCCUCUACUUGCCUGUACCGGUGACCGGCGAACGCUCCGUGUUGCUCCGUGCUUCCCGGCGCUUCUUUCGUGUUCCUCGUGUCGAAGUUCUGCGCGGAUACAACGUCGGGUGUGUCGAGUGUGGUAGCAGCGUGAGUGUCAGGAUCGUAUAGAUCGUAUCUCGUUCGUUAAGCGUUACGAACUUGUCGCUUGCGUCUCGUGCUCGUCUAACGUUUCUCGACUCAGCUGUUUGCUUUCGGUCUCAAAUCGUAUGUUUAUCAGUGUGCGAGAACACGAACAUAAUAAUCGUCCGGUAACGCGCGUGUUGCGUGUUAACAACGACCGCGUGUUAACUACGACGGUCGAGGGGUUAUGUUACGCCGCGCGCGAUUUCUUGGCGCUCGAGAUUCGUCGUUUAUCGGGACAGUAUCUUUUCCGAUGGCGUCGCGGGUGUGGUAUCGUAAGUGGUGAACAAUAUAUUGUGCGGUCAUCGUUAAUAUGCGAUUCGAGAGCGAUAAAAAGAAACAUCGUCAGCGAAGGACAGCCUCCGUGAAGCAAUUCGGUCGAUGUUGAAAACUCUGCUGCUGCACAUCCUGUGUCGGUUACGAACGACGCCGACCGCGACGCGACGAUGAGAGACUCGCGAGCUUCGGGAGUCGCUUCCGGCUUUCAUCCGUUUUAGCCAUGCUAAUGGAGACAGUACAGACGCGUGGCUUAGCAUGUAGAAUUUCAGUGAUUCUAGGAAGCUGGCUGGAGAGUUAUUUCGAUCUAGCGACGUAUACCACACUGGGUCAGCGUACCAAGAUAAUUUCCUGAACGCACAGGCCGCGUAACUACUACAGAAUCCUGAAUUUAGCAGACAUCCGCUUACCGCACGCGGAAGCUGCUGAAAGAAUAGUGUGACUCCAGGACAUCGCAGGAAACAAUCGUGGAUGCGAGAUGAUGGGGCCAGUUGGCGGCUCUCCUUUGCUCAGGCGCACCCGGCACUCGCAAGAAAUCGAUAUCGCGUCUGCGCUCGGUACAACUCCAAGGGCCGUCUACAGGUUGACAUUAAGAGAGAACCACAGUCACCCUCUUGUGCAAUCUUCACAUUAAAAAUCUUAAGGUAAUUUCCAAAAACAAGAAAGUUAUAUUUUUUAACAUUCAGAGUCUACUUGAAUUUCAUACCAAGACUCAAUGUACAUGAAUGUAGAUGUAUAUGCCAUAUUUAUUUAAUUUUGCACUAUCAAGAAAAAAAGAUAAACAAUUUUGUCAAAAACAAAGAGAUGGAAUUUAAAUUUAAAAGUAAAAUUUCUCAAAAAAUUUUUCGAGUCCAAUAAAAAUAAUUUUCAAGGAUAAAAAAUAAGUUCUCUAAAAAUUCGAGAUUUUUCUAGUGUUUCUCGGUUUCUGAUAUCAACUAUCGAUUAUCAUAAAAAUUUAUUUAUUCCGUCUGCUAUUGACGCGACGCUACCCUCGUAUCAUAAUAGACUAUUGUUUAUCCUUAAGGGAGUUGCACCCUUCUCUCAACAUCGCCAUUGUCGAGAGGUAAGAAUACGAUUGACUUGUGACGUUUCAGCGUCACUUACGAAAAGAUAUAUUAUUAUCUCUGAAUAAUAUUAUGAUAUAAAUUCACAGUUUUUCAUUAACAAUUCUCUAGUGAAUUAAUUAAAUCUAUUUAUCAAUGUUAGACUUUGAAAUUACCGUGAGAACAAAGAAAAUUAAAAUUUAUAAAUGAUAAUAUCUUGUACUAGAAAUAACUUAUAUGAUAAGAGCAGAAAAAAUAUUAUUUAAUCUAAAAAUAGGUGGAAGAAAUUUUAUCCUGCGCUCGCUAUAUUAUUUUCAGCCAAUAUCUACCCUCAUUUCAAACUGUAUUCUGUAAUAAAAAUAUGAAACUUUGAAUUUUCUGUAAAGAUACGUGGCGAGAAGCUGCAGUGAUUGUAAGAAAAAAUAGUUGUAAUUAUCAUCAUAAUUUAACUAUAAUUUAUAGGAAUUUCGUUACCAACUAUAUUUAUAGUUAUAUUUUGCACGA